GCAUGGAAUAGUGGUAGAGCAUCUGCUUUGAAUGCAGAAGGUCCCAGAUUCAAUCCCUGGGAUCUCCA
rnacentral:tRNA from 1 species